rnacentral:rRNA from 1 species
CGACUCUCGGCAACGGAUAUCUCGGCUCUCGCAUCGAUGAAGAACGUAGCGAAAUGCGAUACUUGGUGUGAAUUGCAGAAUCCCGUGAACCAUCGAGUCUUUGAACGCAAGUUGCGCCCGAAGCCUUUUGGCCGAGGGCACGUCUGCCUGGGUGUCACG